GACGAACGCUGGCGGCGUGCUUAACACAUGCAAGUCGAACGGAAAGGCCCUGCUUGCAGGGUACUCGAGUGGCGAACGGGUGAGUAACACGUGGGUGAUCUGCCCUGCACUUCGGGAUAAGCUUGGGAAACUGGGUCUAAUACCGGAUAGGAGCCAUCUUUAGUGUGGUGGUUGGAAAGUUUUUUCGGUGUAGGAUGAGCUCGCGGCCUAUCAGCUUGUUGGUGGGGUAAUGGCCUACCAAGGCGGCGACGGGUAGCCGGCCUGAGAGGGUGUACGGCCAAAUUGGGACUGAGAUACGGCCCAGACUCCUACGGGAGGCAGCAGUGGGGAAUAUUGCACAAUGGGCGCGAGCCUGAUGCAGCGACGCCGCGUGGGGGAUGAAGGCCUUCGGGUUGUAAACUCCUUUCGCUAGGGACGAAGCUUUUUGUGACGGUACCUAGAUAAGAAGCACCGGCUAACUACGUG
rnacentral:rRNA from 1 species